rnacentral:lncRNA from 1 species
GCUCUGUCAAUGAAUCCUCUACACAUCUACACCUGCAACUCUGCUGGAGCCACCACAAGCCCUGGGGAUGAGGAAACUCAUGGAUGCAGAAUUCUGAGGACAUUGAGAGAAGAGCCAGAUUUCAAGUUGUUUGAACACGGAACAGAGAUAAUUGAAGAACUAAGAUUUUCCCAAUAUUCAUUUUUCAAGUGAUCCAGAUUGCUUUUGCCACCAACCUGAAGGCCUACAGAACCAUAAGGACAGGAACUAUUCUGUUUAUUCCUAUGUUUUGGACCUUCCAAGUAUAUGGGUAAGUGUUGUAAAAAAUCAGAUAUUAGCUCAAUGGACUCUCUAUGUCCACAAAUAUAAAAGUCAAGGAACAAAUCCUUGACAUGAAUUCAGGAGCCCAUAGCGCUUGGUAAUAAAAAAUUACUUCAUCGAGAACUUAAAACCCGC